UUAACUAUUAAAAUAUUACUCAGACAAUAAAUGAUUCAGGGUGUUGGUUCUCUGGCAGGCACUAACUAGCCAAGGCCAGUAGCACAGAGGCAGGCCUGCCAAAGCAACAAAGUAUGUAAACAUAGGGUGGGAGAUCUACCCCGAAGGGCAAGUUCUCAGUAAUGAUCCUUCCGCAGGUUCCGACUUGCUGCAAGCAACCAAGCUUGCAUCCGAUCAUAUCUUAACCCCGAGGGCCACCUCAAUUUGAUCUGUGAACUCCAAAAGAGCCGCUGGUAGUACAGUUUUGUAAAUUCCAGCAAGAUAGAGAUGUUGCCUGCAAAAGCAGACUGACAGCCGCAGGCAAACCAAUACCUACGGAAA
rnacentral:misc_RNA from 1 species